GCAUGUCUCAGUAUAAGUCAUUUUACGACCAAACUGCGAAUGGCUCAUUAAAACAGUUAUAGUUUCUUUGCUGGUCAAUCGUUAUACGGAUAACUGUGGUAAUUCUAGAGCUAAUACGUGCACAAAGACCCGACUUCACGGAAGGGUUGCAUUCAUUAGAUACAGAACCAUCCCCUUCGGGGUUUUGGAUGAUCCAUAAUGAAUGAGCGGAGCGCAUGGCUUGUGUCGGCGCUGUAGCAUUCAAGUUUCUGACCUAUCAGCUUUCGACGGUAGGGUAUUGGCCUACCGUGGCAUUGACGGGUAACGGAGAAUUAGGGUUCGAUUCCGGAGAGGGAGCCCGAGAAACGGCUACCACAUCUAAGGAAGGCAGCAGGCGCGCAAAUUACCCAAUCCUGAUUCAGGGAGGUAGUGACAAGAAAUAACAGUGCUGUUCUCUUUGAGAAUAUGCAUCUGGAAUGAUUUGCAUGUAAAUAUCGCUUGGACUAUCAAUUGGAGGGCAAGUCUGGUGCCAGCAGCCGCGGUAAUUCCGGCUCCAUUAGUGUAUAUUAAAGUUGUUACGGUUAAAAAGCUCGUAGUUGGAUUUCUGUUGGGUAUCGCGUGGUCUGCUCCUCGAGUACGUAUCUGCGUCGAUCCUGGCAUCCUCGCAACGCUCUGUGGCAUUAAUUUGCUGCUUGGCUUGCGACUUUUACUUUGAGGAAAUUAGAGUGUUCACGGCAGGCAUUUGCUUUGAAUAUAUUAGCAUGGAAUAAUAACAUAGGACUUCGGUUUUAUUUUGUUGGUUUCUAAGGCUGAAGUAAUGAUUAAUAGGGACAAUUGGGGGCACUCGUACAAAUCCGUCAGAGGUGGAAUUCUUGGAUUGGAUUUUGACGAACUACUGCGAAAGCAUUUG
rnacentral:rRNA from 1 species